rnacentral:lncRNA from 1 species
GACAAAGGAUCAAGAGAUGGUUUCUACACUGGCAAGGAGUAAUCUUGGAGACAGGAAGAGACUGGUGAUUCAAGAGACAGUAGACAGAAGAAGGCGCUGUCUGGGGGAGACAGGUUUUCAUCUGUAGCCUGAGUGACCCCAAAAAGAUGACACUCUUCUGUCCACCAAAACCUUCCAGAGGCUUCCUGUACUCACCUGAAGUAAAAUCCAAAGUGCUGACUAUGAUUACCAGCUCCCCCGGCUGGCCUGCUGCGGGAUGGCUUUUCCACCAGCCUCCCGUUCAAGGCCUCCCCUUCUGCCACUGCGGCCUCUGCAUUGUUCCUGAGCAUGCCAAGCACAUUCCCACCUCAAGGCCUUGGUGCUUGCAGUUCGUCUGCUUCUCUCCUGGUCUAUGCCUGGCUGGUUCUUGUUUCUUUUGAAUUCUGACCAGGUGCACCUCAUGAGAGAGGCCUUCCUUGACCUCCCUCCUCCAUUCUUCUCACAGGCCCCAUCUGACAUGCUUGCCCUCCCCCUCCCCUGCCCCCAUCCCCAUGUGAGCCCCAUGAGAGAAGGGCCUCUGUCCUUAGGCAGAUGUGUUUCCCCAGAACCCAGGACAGGACAGCCACACAGGAGGAAACCAACACGCUUUUCUUAAAUGAUGGAAUAAAGUACUGACUGUGUUUCAAGCA